UUGACCUCAAAUCAGGUAGGACUACCCGCUGAACUUAAGCAUAUCAAUAAGCGGAGGAAAAGAAACUAACAAGGAUUCUCCUAGUAACG
rnacentral:rRNA from 1 species